rnacentral:rRNA from 1 species
UACAGAGGGUGCGAGCGUUAAUCGGAAUUACUGGGCGUAAAGCGUGCGUAGACGGUUAUUUAAGUCGGGUGUGAAAGCCCCGGGCUCAACCUGGGAAUUGCAUUCGAGACUGAAUAGCUAGGGUACGGUAGAGGGAAGCGGAAUUUCCGGUGUAGCGGUGAAAUGCGUAGAUAUCGGAAGGAACAUCAGUGGCGAAAGCGGCUUCCUGGACCAGUACCGACGUUCAGGCACGAAAGCUAGGGGAGCGAACGGG